UACGAAGGGGGCUAGCGUUGCUCGGAAUCACUGGGCGUAAAGGGUGCGUAGGCGGGUCUUUAAGUCAGGGGUGAAAUCCUGGAGCUCAACUCCAGAACUGCCUUUGAUACUGAGGAUCUUGAGUUCGGGAGAGGUGAGUGGAACUGCGAGUGUAGAGGUGAAAUUCGUAGAUAUUCGCAAGAACACCAGUGGCGAAGGCGGCUCUCUGGGACGGUACUGGACGCUGAGACGCGAAAGCGUGGGGAGCAAACAGGG
rnacentral:rRNA from 1 species